rnacentral:rRNA from 1 species
GCGAGCGUUAAUCGGAAUUACUGGGCGUAAAGCGCAUGCAGGCGGCCUGUUAAGUCAGAUGUGAAAGACCCGGGGCGUUAACCUCGGAAUUGCAUUUGUAAACUAGGCAGGCUAGAGUCUUGUAGAGGGGGGUAGGAAUUUCAGGUGUAGCGGUGAAAUAGCGUAGAGAUCUGAAGGAAUACCAGUGGCGAAGGCGGCCCCCUCGGACAAAGACUGACGCUCAGAUGCGAAAGCGUGGGGAGCAAACAGGAUUAGAUACCCUGGUAG